GGCAGCUAGUAGACCGGCGACGACGACCGCCACCCGAACAAGAAGGGGAGCCACCUUCGGGGUCCCUGGUGUCCCGUGAAGCGAGUUUCAAAGAGAAGAUUAGAGUUGCCAACGUGCAAAGAUGUUGACUUCAGGAAUAACAUGCAGAAGGUUUAUAUGAGUGAGGAGAAGGAGAGGAUCAUGGACAAGCUCAACAGAGACGUGGAGUCUGGAGCAGAAAUCUCCACCGUUCACCCUGAGCAGUACGGCAAGAGGUUCCAUGAGUUCAUUGCUGAGAUCUUUGCGUAGCUCAUCAGAACACAGCUACAGAACCAUAGCUGGCUCAAUAUGAAAACACUCCUUAUUUACUACCUUGUUACAAUUCCUUAACUGACAAGUACUUUCGUAUAGAGAUAAAAUAUACUGUUUAUAAAAGAGCUAUUUAUUUAAUUGUAUCCAUCAAUGAAUUUAAAAACUCUUAGUACUAACUUUGUCACCUGUGGAACACAGAGAAACAUGAUCAUCAUCAGGUGCCUCGAGUUCUGGAUUUCUGGAAUUUUGGAGACCAAUCAGUCCUAUUCUCUGAAGUCUGACAACAGGGUGUGUUUUAAUGGCUUCUAUGAUGAUGGCAAGGGAGAGAGCAUUGUCUUUAUGGCAUGCUCUUCCAGCUGAUUCUCCGACCAGAUGGAGGCACAAAAGGACAGUGGCUAUUUUAUGGACACACACUGGACUGGUAUUUUAGAAAGACUGAUUGAUUUAAAGUCCUACUUGACUUGGACUUCCUUGCUUAAAUCAAAACACAUGGUGAAUAAAUGCCUCCCCUCCAAAAAAAAUGUUAUCACUGAUGUAUCUUAAUAUUUUUUUCGCAAAUGUAUUCAAUGUUUGUUAAAUCUAUGUUUUAGUUGAUAUCUAUUAAAUUGUCUGUGUAACAUUUUCAGAAGUUGUGGCU